rnacentral:lncRNA from 1 species
GGACCACAUGCUGGAAAUUUUCCAACCGUGGUGUUGACUUAGUUGCUGACCUCCAGGAACAUUCAUUCUGCGACUCUGUUGACAGCUCCCGCGGGCCCGGCACUCACCAGGCAGGCGGGCACACAGCUGGGGCCGUGUCAUCUCUUCCCACGGACUACCUCCAUCAUCGCUGUAACCAAGCCUGACUCAGGGAGAAGGGAGUGAGACAUCUCUGGGCAGCCAGCACAGUAGAAGAAGUGGAUGGGCACUGGUUCUACUAGCCAGACUGUAGACUCCUGGGAGCAGAAUCUCAGCAGGAGGAUCACAUCAGGACACAGAAAUAGCCAUUGUUUUUUGGGAAGCCAAUCAACGAAUCCACUUCUCAACGCAAAAUGUUGUAAAAAAUUAAAAUCUGAGUAGGGGUGUUGGUGAAAAGACCAAGCAUGGAU